UACAGAGGGUGCAAGCGUUAAUCGGAAUUACUGGGCGUAAAGCGUGCGUAGACGGUCAUGUAAGUCGGGUGUGAAAGCCCCGGGCUCAACCUGGGAAUUGCAUUCGAGACUGCAUGGCUAGGAUGCGGAAGAGGGAAGCGGAAUUUCCGGUGUAGCGGUGAAAUGCGUAGAUAUCGGAAGGAACACCAGUGGCGAAAGCGGCUUCCUGGUCCAGCAUCGACGUCAGGCACGAAAGCGUGGGGAGCAAACAGG
rnacentral:rRNA from 1 species